rnacentral:rRNA from 1 species
UACGGAGGGUGCGAGCGUUAAUCGGAAUUACUGGGCGUAAAGCGUGCGCAGGCGGUCUGUUAAGACCGAUGUGAAAUCCCCGGGCUUAACCUGGGAACUGCAUUGGUGACUGGCAGGCUUUGAGUGUGGCAGAGGGAGGUAGAAUUCCACGUGUAGCAGUGAAAUGCGUAGAGAUGUGGAGGAAUACCGAUGGCGAAGGCAGCCUCCUGGGCCAACACUGACGCUCAUGCACGAAAGCGUGGGGAGCAAACAGG